rnacentral:misc_RNA from 1 species
UCUCCGUUGGUGAACCAGCGGAGGGAUCAUUACAGAGUUUUCACAACUCCCAACCCUUGCGAACCGUACCCAUUCUGUUCUCGUUGCUUCCGGCGGUGGGGACGGGGGGGCCCGAAACGGCCUCCCCGCCCCGCCCGCCGGGCGCGGAGGGCCCUACGAACCUGUAUAUCUCAGCCACCAGAAACCGUCUGAGAAAACAAACAAAAUAAUCAAAACUUUCAACAACGGAUCUCUUGGCUCUG